AAAAUAUUAUUUAAUUUGUUUAAGAAGAAGUUAUUAAUUGAAAUAAUUUUAAGGGAUAUUUUUUAGUAAAGUUUAUAGAAUUUAUAAAGUGGAAUAAUAGAGUAGGAGUACUGUGAAGGAAAUAUGAAAUAGGUGAAAUAUUUAUUAGGAAGAAAGAAGAAUGGAAUUUGUACCUUGGGUGUCAGGGUUUAUUAAUUAAUGGUAAUGAUUUAUGGAUCUCGAAUUAAAAAGAGUUAAAAUAGUAUAAUAGUUAAUAUGUUAUGAUUAUUAUUGAUAUUAUUUUAGGAAUGAAAUGUUAAACGUUUUUUAAGUUAUCUAGUUUCUUAAGAGAUGAAUUUAAUUCAUGAUAUUGAGAGUAAAGAUUUAAUUUGUAAUUAAUGGUUUAUUUUUGGUAUCAAAUAUAUAAGGGGAUAAGCUUUUAUAUGGAUGUUAUAAAUUGUGAAAGGUUACAAGGAGUUGUAGGCUUUAAAUUAGCCACCACUGAAAUAAUGUUAUAAGUUGUUUUGUAAUUAGGUUAUUUUUUAAGAUUUUUAGGUUGUAUAUUAGGAUGUUAUGUUAAAUAAAUUAAUAUAAGUAAUGAUGAUAAAAUGAGUAUAUGAAUAGUGUUUAUAAAAGUUUAUUUGUGAAUUUAUAAUAAGGAACUAGGCAAAUUAUCACUCGCCUGUUUAUCAAAAACAUCUCCUUUUGGUUUUAUAUAAGGUAGGGCCUGCCCACUGAGAAUAUUUAAAGGGCCGCGGUAUUAUGACCGUGCAAAGGUAGCAUAAUCAUUAGUCUUUUAAUUGAAGGCUGGAAUGAAUGGUUUGACGAGGUGAUAACUGUCUCAUUAUAAUAUGUAGAAGUUAACUUUUAAGUCAAAAGGCUUAGAUUUUGAUGGAGGACGAGAAGACCCUAUAGAGCUUUAUAUUAAAGAUUUAAGUUUGUGUUUAGGGUUUUAUAAAAGCUUAGAUUGAUUAUAUUGUGUUGGGGUGACAUAAAGAUAAAAUGAACUCUUUAUUUUUAAGACAUUGAUGUGUGGAUAUUUGAUCCAUUUUUAAUGAUCAUAAGAUUAAGUUACCUUAGGGAUAACAGCGUAAUUUUUCUUGAGAGUUCAUAUCAACAGAGAAGAUUGCGACCUCGAUGUUGGAUUAAGGAAUAUAAUUGAAUGCAGCAGUUUAGUUAAUAGGUCUGUUCGACCUUUAAAUCCUUACAUGAUCUGAGUUCAGACCGGUGAAAGCCAGGUCGGUUUCUAUCCUUAUUAUAAUUUUAUACUUUAGUACGAAAGGACCAGGUAUCAUAAAUAUUUUAUUAAAUUUGAUUAUUAGUA
rnacentral:rRNA from 1 species